AAACGAUUUCGCGUGUAUAAUUAUUAUCGAUGUUUUUCGAUUAUUCAUGCGGGUAGUGCUACAUACAGGACGUCUCGCGAAUGAUACGAUCUUAUCGCAAUAUCUUGUCAAGUAUUAGAUUUUUUUUUCUCUUCGAAAUUUAAGAAGCGAGUAGUUAUAAAAUUUUACAUUUCCGUUAUUUUCGAAAACUUAGUAUUUGUUGAACUUUCAAUAUGGGUCGACAUUUGAAAACCGAACUCGGAUCGUCGGUUCACUCACCCAAAAUUAAC